rnacentral:rRNA from 1 species
CAGCCGCGGUAAUACAUAGGUCACAAGCGUUAUCCGGAAUUAUUGGGCGUAAAGCGUUCGUAGGCGGUUUGUUAAGUCUGGAGUUAAAGACUGGGGCUCAACCCCAGCCCGCUCUGGAUACUGGCUGACUAGAGUUACAUAGAGGUAAGUGGAAUUCUUAGUGGAGCGGUGGAAUGCGUAGAUAUUAGGAAGAACACCAAUGGCGAAGGCAGCUUACUGGAUGUACACUGACGCUCAGGGACGAAAGCGUGGGGAGCAAACAGGAUUAGAUACCCUGGUAGUCCACGCCGUAAACGAUGAUCAUUAGCCGCUAGAAUAUUUAGUGGCGCAGCUAACGCAUUAAAUGAUCCGCCUGAGUAGUAUGCUCGCAAGAGUGAAACUUAAAGGAAUUGACGGGGACCCGCACAAGCGGUGGAGCAUGUGGUUUAAUUUGAAGAUACGCGUAGAACCUUACCCACUCUUGACAUCUUCCGCAAUACUAUGGAGACAUAGUGGAGGUUAACGGAAUGACAGAUGGUGCAUGGUUGUCGUCAGCUCGUGCCGUGAGGUGUUAGGUUAAGUCCUGCAACGAGCGCAACCCCUGUCUUUAGUUACUAACGGAUAAUGCCGAGGACUCUAGAGAGACUGACUGGGUAACCUGUAAGAAGGUGGGGACGACGUCAAUUCAUCAUGCCUCUUACGAGUGGGGCAACACACGUGCUACAAUGGACGGUACAAAGAGAAGCAAUAUGGUGACAUGGAGCCAACCUCAAAAAACCGUUCUCAGUUCGGAUKGAAGUCUGCAACUCGACUUCAUGAAGUUGGAAUCGCUAGUAAUCGUAGAUCAGCUACGCUACGGUGAAUACGUUCUCGGGUCUUGUACACACCGCCCGU